rnacentral:rRNA from 1 species
AGAGUUUGAUCCUGGCUCAGGACGAACGCUGGCGGCGUGCCUAAUACAUGCAAGUCGAACGCUUCCUACCGGUGCUUGCACCGGGAAAGAAGAGUGGCGGACGGGUGAGUAACACGUGGGUAACCUACCUACAAGCGGGGGAUAACAUUCGGAAACGGAUGCUAAUACCGCAUAGAUCAUUUUGCCUCCUGGCAUGAUGAAGAAAGACGGUUUCGGCUGUCACUUGUAGAUGGACCCGCGGCGCAUUAGUUAGUUGGUGGGGUAAUGGCUCACCAAGACGAUGAUGCGUAGCCGACCUGAGAGGGUGAUCGGCCACACUGGGACUGAGACACGGCCCAGACUCCUACGGGAGGCAGCAGUAGGGAAUCUUCCGCAAUGGACGAAAGUCUGACGGAGCAACGCCGCGUGAGUGAAGAAGGUUUUCGGAUCGUAAAACUCUGUUGUUAGAGAAGAACAAGGAUGAGAGUAACUGCUCGUCCCUUGACGGUAUCUAACCAGAAAGCCAUGGCUAACUACGUGCCAGCAGCCGCGGUAAUACGUAGAUGGCAAGCGUUGUCCGGAUUUAUUGGGCGUAAAGCGAGCGCAGGCGGUUCUUUAAGUCUGAUGUGAAAGCCCCUGGCUUAACCAGGGAGGGUCAUUGGAAACUGGAGAACUUGAGUGCAGAAGAGGAAAGUGGAAUUCCAUGUGUAGCGGUGAAAUGCGUAGAUAUAUGGAGGAACACCAGUGGCGAAGGCGACUUUCUGGUCUGUAACUGACGCUGAGGCUCGAAAGCAUGGGGAGCAAACAGGAUUAGAUACCCUGGUAG